GGAUGGUCGCUUCCCUUGUUUCUCUUCGGGUCAUGAUGCUACAGAGUCGUUGCCAGGGAUCUCCUGACCGCGACGAGGGAACCAGACCUUUCCGAGAAUGUGACCGCUGUACGGGUGCCUGCGAGUCCUGGGUGGCUGCCGGCCCUCGCCGGUUCCGCGCAUGCGUCCGCUGGCGGGCUUUUAGCUGGGCGGGCGCGGCGGGGUGUGACGUCUCUGGCAUUGUUUCGCCAAAGUCAGAGCUGGGUGUGAGGCGCUGCGCUGGCUUCUCUGGGUGUGCUGAGGUCUUCGUGCGACUCGUGUGUGGCUUUGUCAUGUUCCGAAUGAGGCCUGAAAGGUGCCAAACAGCUUCUUGGCAACUUUAUAUUUUUGCUGUCAUGGUUAGAGAACCUUGUUUUUGUUAACAUCACGGUGAACGAAAACAUUUUUAAGCUUCAGUAAUUCUAAGCAACAAGAUUCAUAAGGAGAUUCUUUUUAAUCGUGGAAUAACCAUUGUACAAGGAGUCUGUCAGUGAGCUGAAAAUGGUUAGAAUAUGCCCCAUAGAACAGACUCUGCAGGCCCAUAACUCACCCUGGAAAGCUCUGGGACACACACCAGAUGUUAACAGUUCAUGGCGCCAUAGGCUGCCCUCAGCAAGUAUUUGUUAAAGGAAUGAAAGAAAUUAUCCCUUGAGGACAUCAUAAAGCAGGUGAGUUUCAUCUUGUUUAUAUUUUUCUGUAUUUGAAUUUUUUACAAUUAUUUUGCAUCCUUUUUCUCUCAUUAAAAAUAGUACAGGGACUUCCCUGGUGGUCCAGUGGUUAAAACUCUGCUCUUCCAUUACAGGGGGCACAGGUUUAAUCCCUGAUCCGGGAACUAAGAUCCCACAUGCUGUGCAGCGCAUCCAAAAACGAAACAAAACAAAAUGACAAGAAAAAUAGUACAGAUAUAUCCUUACCACUAUUAAUUUUUAGGCCUAUCCUUGAAAAUCUUUUCUGUGCUUUAGAUAUAUACACGUGUAUACAGUUUAUACAUAUUUGAAAAUAAUUAUAGAUACACAGGACGUUGCUAAAAGAGAUCAUGUAUACCCUUCAUCCAGUUUUUUCUAAUGAUCACAUCUUAUGUAAUUAUAGUACAGUAUCAAAACCAGGAUUUUGACAUUGGUACAAUGUGUGUGCAUAUAAUUCUAUGCCAUUUUAGCACAUGUAGAUUCAUAUAGCCACCACUGCAGUCAAGAUACAGAACUCUUCCAUCACCACAGAGAUACCCCUUAUGCUACCUCUUUAUACUCACACCCAUCCCCAUUUUUCUCGCCAUCCCUAACCCUUUGUCACUAAUCUGUUUUCCAUGGCUAUGAUUUUGUCAUGUCCAGAUGUUAUGUAAAUGGAAUUAUACAGUAUAUGCCUUUUGAGAUUGGCCUUUUUCACUCAGAAUAAGGCCUGUGAGAUCUAUUCAAGCUAUUGUGUCUAUCAGUAGUCCAUUUCCUUUUAUGGCUGAGAAGGAUUCCCUGAUAUGCAUUUAUCACAAUUUGUCUAACCGUUCACCUAUUGGACAUUAUGGUUGUUUCCACUUUUUGGCUUUUACAGAUAAAACAGACCAUUUGUAUGUAAUGCAAUUAUCGAUAUUUUAAGGCUUCAGUCUGCCACUUUAUUGUUUUCUGGUUUUGGUUUUCCUAUUUUCUUUUACCUGUCUUUCUGUUGGUUACUCAAACAUGAGUUACGAAUUCCAUUUUGAUUUGUAUGUACUUUUUUAAAGUGUUAUCUCUUUGUAUAAAUUUUUUAGUGAUUGCUCUGAGUAUUAUAUAUACAGAACUUAUCAGUCUACUGGUGAUAUUUUACUAGUUCCAGUGAAGUAUAAAAACCUUAAGCGCUAAG